AUUGAACGCUAGCGGCAUGCCUUACACAUGCAAGUCGAGCGGAGCGGCGGACGGGUGAGUAAUGCCUAGGAAUCUGCCUGGUAGCGGGGGAUAACUUCCGGAAAGGGUCGCUAAUACCGCAUACUAUCAGAUGGGCCUAGAUCGGCUUAGCUAGUUGGUGGGGUAAAGGCCUACCAAGGCGACGAUCCGUAACUGGUUUGAGAGGAUGAGCAGUCACACUGGAACUGAGACACGGUCCAGACUCCGACGGGAGGCAGCAGUGGGGAAUUUUGGAAAAUGGGCGAAAGCCUGAUCCAGCCAUGCCGCGUGUGUGAUGAAGGUCUUCUGAUUGUAAAGCACUUUAAGUUGGGAGGCGUUACCAACAGAAUAAGCACCGGCUAACUACGUGCCAGCAGCCGCGGUAAUUC
rnacentral:rRNA from 1 species